UACGUAGGGUGCAAGCGUUGUCCGGAAUUAUUGGGCGUAAAGAGCUCGUAGGCGGUUUGUCGCGUCUGCUGUGAAAACUCAGGGCUUAACUCUGAGCUUGCAGUGGGUACGGGCAGACUAGAGUGCGGUAGGGGAGACUGGAAUUCCUGGUGUAGCGGUGAAAUGCGCAGAUAUCAGGAGGAACACCGGUGGCGAAGGCGGGUCUCUGGGCCGUAACUGACGCUGGAGGAGCGGAAAGCAUGGGGAGCGAACAGG
rnacentral:rRNA from 1 species